AUUGAACGCUGGCGGCAGGCCUAACACAUGCAAGUCGAACGAGUGGCGGCCGGGUGAGUAAUGUCUGGGAAACUGCCUGAUGGAGGGGGAUAACUACUGGAAACGGUAGCUAAUACCGCAUACCAUCGGAUGUGCCCAGAUGGGAUUCGCUCGUAGGGGGGGUAACGGCGCACCUAGGCGACGAUCCCUAGCUGGUCUGAGAGGAUGCACAGCCAAACUGUAACUGAGACACGGUCCAUACUCCUACGGGAGGCAGCAGUGGGGAAUAUUGUACAAUGGGCGCAAGCCUGAUGCAGCCAUGCCGCGUGUAUGAAGAAGGCCUUCGUGUUGUAAAGUACUUUCAGCGGGGAGGCGUUACCCGCAGAAGAAGCACCGGCUAACUCCGUGCCAGCCGCCGCGGUAAUAC
rnacentral:rRNA from 1 species